ACCCAGUGGCCAACUCCCUGCGAGUGGAUGUCCAGGCUGGGGCCUGCGAGGGCAAGCUGGAGCUCAGCGUGGACGGUGCCAAGCAGUACCGGAACGGGGAGUCCGUGAAGCUCCACUUAGAAACUGACUCCCUAGCCCUGGUGGCACUGGGAGCCUUGGACACAGCUCUGUAUGCUGCAGGCAGCAAGUCCCACAAGCCCCUCAACAUGGGCAAGGUCUUUGAAGUUAUGAACAGCUAUGACCUCGGCUGUGGUCCUGGGGGUGGGGACAGUGCCCUUCAGGUGUUCCAGGCAGCGGGCCUGGCCUUUUCUGAUGGAGACCAAUGGACCUUAUCCAGAAAGAGACUAAGCUGUCCCAAGGAGAAGACAACCCGGAAAAAGAGAAACGUGAACUUCCAAAAGGCGAUUAAUGAGAAAUUGGGUCAGUAUGCUUCCCCAACAGCCAAGCGCUGCUGCCAGGAUGGGGUGACACGUCUGCCCAUGAUGCGUUCCUGCGAACAGCGGGCAGCCCGCGUGCAGCAGCCGGACUGCCGGGAGCCCUUCCUGUCCUGCUGCCAAUUUGCUGAGAGUCUGCGCAAGAAGAACAGGGACAGGGGCCAGGCGGGCCUCCAACGAGCCCUGGAGAUCCUGCAGGAGGAGGACCUGAUUGAUGAGGAUGACAUUCCCGUGCGCAGCUUCUUCCCGGAGAACUGGCUCUGGAGAGUGGAAACAGUGGACCGCUUUCAAAUGUGAGAGUGUUUUUUGGCCCAGCCUUGUCUCUGCGCUGUGUCUGGGGGCCAGCCGCGGUAUGACGGGCCUUCUCUGCCUUUCCCUACACAGAUUGACACUGUGGCUCCCCGACUCUCUGACCACGUGGGAGAUCCAUGGCCUGAGCCUGUCC
rnacentral:sRNA from 1 species